rnacentral:rRNA from 1 species
CCUACGGGUGGCAGCAGUGAGGAAUAUUGGUCAAUGGCCGAGAGGCUGAACCAGCCAAGUCGCGUGAGGGAAGAAUGUCCUAUGGAUUGUAAACCUCUUUUGUCAGGGAGCAAAGUCACCCACGUGUGGGCGUUGGGGAGUACCCGAAGAAAAAGCAUCGGCAAAACUCGUGCCAGAAGCCGCGGUAAUACGGAGGAUGCGAGCGUUAGCCGGAUUUAUUGGGUUUAAAGGGUGCGUAGGCGGGUUAUCAAGUCAGCGGUAAAAUCGUGGAGCUCAACUCCAUCCAGCCGUUGAAACUGAUGUUCUUGAGUGGGCGAGAAGUAUGCGGAAUGCGUGGUGUAGCGGUGAAAUGCAUAGAUAUCACGCAGAACUCCGAUUGCGAAGGCAGCAUACCGGCGCCCGACUGACGCUGAAGCACGAAAGCGUGGGUAUCGAACAGGAUUAGAUACCCGAGUAGUC